UCCCUGGGGGCUCAGCUGGUAAAGAAUCCGCCUUCAAAGCGGGAGACCUGGGUUUGAUUCCUGGGUUGGGAA
rnacentral:tRNA from 1 species